rnacentral:tRNA from 1 species
GCCUCCAUAGUUUAAUGGACAGAACAUCGGGCUUCGAACCCGAAAAUGGGAGUUCGAUUCUCUCUGGAGGCA